AAUUUAUUAUCCAGUUUAAUAACUGACUUAGCAAAGUCAAGUUAUUAAUUUAUAUGCGAUAGAAAUAUUAUUUCUAUUAUUUACUAGAAGUCGAGGAAUUAUUCCGACUGCAACGCAGAUUAAAUCUACGGAUUUAAUUUAAGUUAUAUUACAGUUUAUCAAGUUAGCAGGCAAGGAAAAAGAUAUCAAGCAAGAUACAGAAAUGCGAUGAUUGAAAAUCGAAGCCAGUAUUUAUUUACAGUUCACAGAUUACAGGCUAGUUCCCAUCUUGGGGAAAAUCGUUUAGUAUAUUACAAAAGCAAAAGCUCUUCAAUCAAUUAAAGUUUAAAUACAAUUUUUUAUUUCCAUCUUUUGUUAAUGAUGUACACGUAUUUACUCCACCAACACCACUCCAACCUUUUGCUUUCCUCCCUCAGCCAACCACCACCACUAUCUCCAAUAUCUCCAAACCUUUAAUUAUCAACUCCACCACCACUUGCUCCCCACCCAACAAAUGCAAUAUUCACUCUCAUUUCAUUUUCAUCCACCAGUUCAGAGGAUCAAUUCCAGUUCGUUUCAGCCGAAGCUCUCAAGUUUCUAUCCACUGAUUCAAACACCACAGCAGCCAACAUCAAUUUACAGCAACUCACUCCUGGAGAAAUCAACUUAUUUUCAUAAGAGGUCAAGCGCGAGAGUAAGAACUACACAAGGAGUUAGAGUACCUUAGCAAAACUUUGCUAUCAGGUUGAGUUGUGAUGGGCGAUGAAGUGUUGCUGAGUGGAGUUUUUGUCGAACUUAAAGUAGGCUCAGAAAGGAUACAUGUCUUCAUACAUGUAUCUCAGUUAUGCAUUCCGCUGUAAACACUUAUUAUUUCAGUUACACCUACCGUUGCAAACUCUGAUAAUGUUUUAGCCAAGCCCCUAACGAUGCCUUUUUCCUUUUAAGGAAUAUAACGCGUAUACAAGUUCUUUGAGUACCCUUUUUAUGCGACCUAUGCCUUUUUUUUUUUUAAGGGAUAUUUCACGC